rnacentral:tRNA from 1 species
UCCGAAGUAGCUCAGUGGUAGAGCGGUCGGCUGUUAACCGAUUGGUCGUAGGUUCGAGCCCUACCUUCGGAG